rnacentral:misc_RNA from 1 species
ACCUUCCUCAACAGCAUUUCCCUCCAUAACAUUCUCUACUUGACCCUUAUUCUGCCUAACAAUAUUAUUUCUCUUAUUUCUUCUACAAUAUGUAACAAAAUCCCAGGUGCAUUGCUUUGGUUGGCCAACUAAGGAAGCGUCAGAUUUGCACCUCCAUUCAAUUGUUCAUUAUAUCAUUCUUCUAUAUGUAGAUUGUGAUGCUUUUUUGAGUGCUUUUACGAUGUUAAAGGUACAACAUAAAAAUGGAGAUUAACCAUGGUUGAUCUUGCUUUGCAGCAAUUGAAAAUGAUCUUUUAUGCUUCAUUAUAUUAUGCAUUAAAUUGAAUUAUAUUUAGAUGGUUUUUUAAGCAGGUGGUGAUUGUCAUUUGAUGGGAGCCAAGGAGGGGCGCUGGAAUGAAUUUCAAUAUGAUGAAAAUGAUAAUAUGCUUAAGAUAGAAAGCCUAUGAAAAGGUCAAAGCAAAUAAUCAGUCCUAGUGAAGCAUGUUUAACUGUUAAUUGCUUUUGGCGUCAUUGCUCUGCUCUGGUUUUAUAGUUGUGAUGAUUGAAUGGUUUAGUAGCUUGACGUAGUGGAAAAAUGAUUUCUACCAUUAAAUGGAUUUGCCCAAUGCUAGGCCUAGGCCUGAGAAAUGGUAACCAAAGUUGCAUCUGCCUACAUCAAGAUUGUGAAAGGCAAUCUGCCUAAAUUAAUUUAAUUUCAUGAGCUCCGAUUUUUAUAAAGAUUUACGUGUUAAAUUAUUCCAGCUUUACUAAUUUUGAUUUCACUAGUGUUAUAACUGCUGCCCAUUUGAGCUGUUUGCUUCUUCCCUCUAUUGUUUUCUUUUUAUUUUUUUCUUGUAUCGUCUUUUUCAUUCUCUUUUCACACAGGAAGUAUAUUUCUUUGAUCGGUGAAGGAGUUUGAUACAACCCAAUGUGCAGUAGCUGGUAUUCGCCUCACCUGCCCAUCUUCUACUUGUAAUGCUUGCAAGAGUGUACUAAUCCUUUUCCACAACUUUUUUAAUAGGGUGGCUGGUAAUCCGAACAUUGAAAGUACACCACAGAAUCAGUAUAGAAUCGGCUGAACAAAGUCUGGGAAGAAAAUAGAGGCUAAAGAUGCCAAAGACAGUGAACCAAACACCACCAUGCUACGACGAAGUGCAGUGAUGUAAAAUGGAGAACAAAAACCAUCAACAAAGCUUAUCUCAACACCAUAAGCCAAGCAGUAAGCUAGCAAACAAGUAAGGCUAAAUCACAUGGCUAUUGGAUGUGUAUCAAAAGGAGAGCAGUCCUUUCCCUGAUACAUGAGUUCAAGAAAGUUGAGGAGUGGCAUGAUAAAGGCGAAAAUGGCAUGAAGGGAAUUGGGCGUAAGCCGAUGUUGCUGGAAGUAGUUUUUCGCCGUCAUAACCUUUUCCCAUGGAAGGCUUGCUCUAGCAAUUGUGCCUAUUUGACUGAGACCACUUCUCUGUAAAAGAUACUCUACCUUGAUUUAGAUGUAUAAUUUGUAGAUGAACAUAUGGUGUUGAUCGGAUUAGAAGAAAGGAAAGGUUUCUUGAGUUGAACAAAACUUGGGUGGAAGUCUUUUAUGGGGUAUCCUUACUACGAAACCUAGGUGGUUAUUUGUUAUUAUAAAAAUUAUUUUGUUCCUGAU